GACGAACGCUGGCGGCGUGCCUAAUACAUGCAAGUCGAGCGAGCGAAACUAACCGAUUUACUUCGGUAAUGACGUUAGGAAAGCGAGCGGCGGAUGGGUGAGUAACACGUGGGGAACCUGCCCCAUAGUCUGGGAUACCACUUGGAAACAGGUGCUAAUACCGGAUAAGAAAGCAGAUCGCAUGAUCAGCUUUUAAAAGGCGGCGUAAGCUGUCGCUAUGGGAUGGCCCCGCGGUGCAUUAGCUAGUUGGUAAGGUAAAGGCUUACCAAGGCGAUGAUGCAUAGCCGAGUUGAGAGACUGAUCGGCCACAUUGGGACUGAGACACGGCCCAAACUCCUACGGGAGGCAGCAGUAGGGAAUCUUCCACAAUGGACGCAAGUCUGAUGGAGCAACGCCGCGUGAGUGAAGAAGGUUUUCGGAUCGUAAAGCUCUGUUGUUGGUGAAGAAGGAUAGAGGUAGUAACUGGCCUUUAUUUGACGGUAAUCAAACAGAAAGUCACGGCUAACUACGUG
rnacentral:rRNA from 1 species